rnacentral:rRNA from 1 species
GCUUGUCUCAAAGAUUAAGCCAUGCAUGUUCAAGUAUAGCAAGUGUACAGUGAAACUGCGAAUGGCUCAUUAAAUCAGUUAUAAUUUAUUUGAUAGUGAAAUUGUACAUGGAUAACCGUGGCAAUUCUAGGGCUAAUACAUGCGUCAAUGGUCGGUCGACCAGUAUUUAUUAGAUACAAAGCCAGCCGUCAGGAUCAGGUGAAUCAUGAUAACUGUUCGAAGCGCACGGCCUCGCGCCGGCGCUAGUUCAUUCAAAUUUCUGCCCUAUCAGCUUUCGACGGUAGUGUAGUGGACUACCGUGGCGCUAACGGGUGACGGAGAAUUAGGGUUCGGUUCCGGAGAGGGAGCCUGAGAAACGGCUACCACAUCCAAGGAAGGCAGCAGG